rnacentral:lncRNA from 1 species
AUGACAUCCCUUUGGAGAAACCAGUGAAGCUGUGAUGUUGCUUGAGUUACUAUCUAUAUACAAACAGCUCUAUGAGCUAUUGCUCAUUAAUAUGAAAACUAC